CGGCCACAUCGCUUUCCGUACGAUCACCGAAGUUAAGCAACGUCGAGUCUGGUCAGUACUUAGAUGGUUGACCGCUUGGAAAUGCCAAAUGCUGUAA